CCGUCUCAGCCGACAGUUUCUUCUGCUCUCAAAAAGCAUCAAAAGUAUUGGAGGUGGUGCAGCGUCCACAUCCCAAGAUGUUCCUGACUUCACUGAAGAUUUCAUCUCAGGGGCUCCAAGAGAGGCGUAUAUGGAAGAGGAGCCGACUGGAUCCAAAAUUCCACCUACCUCAAAUCCAGUUGGUCCAGCUGAAUGUCUAACCACACUCUCUGAUCCAGUAAGAAUGGAUUUGGUGCAAAGAGGUCCUUUUCAGUCUGAGAAAGACUCUGACUUUCCAAACUCCCCCUCAUUGAGCUGUUGUUUUCUUUAUGUUGUAUUGUUUUAUUGUCAUUUGAUUUGCUAUUAAGUUGCUGUUUUUAAUAAGUUGGAGUUUUGUGAA